CUCCAGACUCCUACGGGAGGCAGCAGUGGGGAAUAUUGCACAAUGGGGGAAACCCUGAUGCAGCGACGCCGCGUGAGCGAUGAAGUAUUUCGGUAUGUAAAGCUCUAUCAGCAGGGAAGAAGAUGACGGUACCUGACUAAGAAGCCCCGGCUAACUACGUGCCAGCAGCCGCGGUAAUACGUAGGGGGCAAGCGUUAUCCGGAUUUACUGGGUGUAAAGGGAGCGUAGACGGCCAGACAAGUCAGAAGUGAAAGCCCAGGGCUCAACCCUGGGACUGCCUUUGAAACUGCCGGGCUGGAGUGCAGGAGAGGUAAGCGGAAUUCCUAGUGUAGCGGUGAAAUGCGUAGAUAUUAGGAGGAACACCAGUGGCGAAGGCGGCUUACUGGACUGUAACUGACGUUGAGGCUCGAAAGCGUGGGGAGCAAACAGGAUUAGAUACCCUAGUACU
rnacentral:rRNA from 1 species